GCUCGUAGCUUCGUGUGUGCAGCGCAUGGCUGGACUUCAGCUUCCGCGAGGCUGGUUUCGAGGGAAAAGAUUAUUUUAUUUUUAAAAGCACAUGAAAGGAAUAUGGAAGAACUUUGGGAUACCUUGACAAAACUAAACCUUCAAAUUAUAGGUAUAGAUUAGGAAGGAGCAUCCUAAGCCAACACACACGUCUAUAAAGAUACAAGAAGCACACAGAACACCAAAUAAACUCUUUACAGUAUAAUCAUGGUUAAACCACCAAAUAAUGCAGAACAAAGAAAAAUAUUGAAAGUUGAAAAAGCCACAAGUAACAUAAACUAAACAAAAUUAUCUGCUGUAGUUGAAGAAAAAAAAACUUUCCAUGAUCCAAACAGUCUGAAGGAAUUCAUAUCCAAUAGACCAAGCCCACAAAGGAUACUGGAUGUAAUACUUCAGACUGAAGAAGCACAGCCAAGAUACUGCAGAAAGAGAGUGAGUGAAGCAUGAGGAGUGUGAGAGAAAACGACAUGUCUGUAAACAACACACACAACACAGGCUGGCUGAAAGAAUAAGAAACAAAAUCCAUCUUUCUGUUGUUUUUGAGGCCCCACAUUAGAGUAAAAGAAUGGAAAACAGUACUUCAAUCUAAUGGGACCAGGAAGCAAGAAGUACUGCAAUCCUGACAUCUGGCAAAACAAACACACAAAAC
rnacentral:lncRNA from 1 species